rnacentral:misc_RNA from 1 species
GAUGAAGAACGUAGCGAAAUGCGAUACGUAAUGUGAAUUGCAGAAUUCAGUGAAUCAUCGAAUCUUUGAACGCACAUUGCGCCCGCCAGUAUUCUGGCGGGCAUGCCUGUUCGAGCGUCAUUUCAACCCUCAGGCCCCGCCUGGCGUUGGGGAUCGGCGCGGCCCUCUCCGGGCUGCCGGCCCCGAAAACUAGUGGCGGUCUCGCUGUAGUCCUCCUCUGCGCAGUAGCAACGCUCGCACUGGAACUCGGCGCGGCCACGCCGUAAAACACCCCACUUCUGAAAGUUGACCUCGGAUCAGGUAGGAAUACCCGCUGAACUUAAGCAUAUCAAUAAGCGGAGGA